rnacentral:rRNA from 1 species
AUACGGAGGGUGCAAGCGUUACUCGGAAUCACUGGGCGUAAAGCGCGCGCAGGCGGUCUUUUAAGUUGGAUGUGAAAGCCUACAGCUCAACUGUAGAACUGCAUCCAAAACUAUCAGACUAGAGUCUGGGAGGGGAAGAUGGAAUUAGUUGUGUAGGGGUAAAAUCCGUAGAGAUAACUAGGAAUACCAAAAGCGAAGGCGAUCUUCUGGAACAGUACUGACGCUGAGGCGCGAAAGCGUGGGGAGCAAACAGGAUUAGAUACCCCAGUAGUCC